rnacentral:lncRNA from 1 species
AAGCCCACCUGGAUAGGCAAAGCCUGAAGAUCAUACAUAUAAAAACCUGUCUUAGGAAAACAGCGCUAAUCCCCCUGGUCACAAAGCCUACAAAAAAUUCUAUUCUUAAUAGGUCUCGUGAAGCUAAUCUUAAGUCAUGGUGUCAUGCUUAUUAUUCUAUGAUUCACUUAGCCGGGUUUUCAAAAUUUAGUAAAUAAAUAAUUGAAAACUAAAUUCUUGAGUUAAGAACACCAACAAUAUUCUUACUC